GAUGAACACUGGCGGCGUGCCUAAUACAUGCAAGUCGAGCGAAUGGAUUGAGAGCUUGCUCUUAUGAAGUUAGCGGCGGACGGGUGAGUAACACGUGGGUAACCUGCCCAUAAGACUGGGAUAACUCCGGGAAACCGGGGCUAAUACCGGAUAACAUUUUGAACCGCAUGGUUCGAAAUUGAAAGGCGGCUUCGGCUGUCACUUAUGGGUGGACCCGCGUCGCAUUAGCUAGUUGGUGAGGUAACGGCUCACCAAGGCAACGAUGCGUAGCCGACCUGCGAGGGUGAUCGGCCACACUGGGACUGAUACACGGCACAGACUCCUACGGGAGGCAGCAGUAGGGAAUCUUCCGCAAUGGACGAAAGUCUGACGGAGCAACGCCGCGUGAGUGAUGAAGGCUUUCGGGUCGUAAAACUCUGUUGUUAGGGAAGAACAAGUGCUAGUUGAAUAAGCUGGCACCUUGACGGUACCUAACCAGAAAGCCACGGCUAACUACGUGCCAGCCGCCGCCGUAA
rnacentral:rRNA from 1 species